GACGAACGCUGGCGGCGUGCUUAACACAUGCAAGUCGAACGGAAAGGCCCUGCUUGCAGGGUACUCGAGUGGCGAACGGGUGAGUAACACGUGGGUGAUCUGCCCUGCACUUCGGGAUAAGCCUGGGAAACUGGGUCUAAUACCGGAUAGGAGCCAUUUUUAGUGUGAUGGUUGGAAAGUUUUUUCGGUGUAGGAUGAGCUCGCGGCCUAUCAGCUUGUUGGUGGGGUAAUGGCCUACCAAGGCGGCGACGGGUAGCCGGCCUGAGAGGGUGGACGGCCACAUUGGGACUGAGAUACGGCCCAGACUCCUCCGGGAGGCAGCAGUGGGGAAUAUUGCACAAUGGGCGCAAGCCUGAUGCAGCGACGCCGCGUGGGGGAUGACGGCCUUCGGGUUGUAAACUCCUUUCGCUAGGGACGAAGCUUUUGUGACGGUACCUAGAUAAGAAGCACCGGCUAACUACGUG
rnacentral:rRNA from 1 species